AAAGAAAGAAGAAAGAAGUAGCUGCCAUUCGAAGAGAUGUUUGGAUAACCACGAUUCACACCCUGCAAUGAACACAUUCGUGUCAGGAGCGACUGCUUUGGACUCCAGUUUUGUGCGCAGUCUUUUUGCACACACCUCGGGGAGGGAGAAGGACAAACAACAUUCAGCCAAUGAAGCACAAAAUGCGUGACUUGCAACAAUCUCACUGGCUGUUCAACCACCAAUGUGGAGGAGCAUGAAGAGGCUACUAUUUCUACUGACCAUCACAGUGACCACAACUAUGAAAAGACCUGGCAUCGGAGAUGUCAGCACUGGAAAGUGAGUGUGUGUGGCUCAUGAGUUAAGGGCCAGGGAUGAGGAACAGUCCUUGAAUGAAUACUUUUUUGCUCACUUUUUUGGAAUAUCUAAAUUCACGGUCAUCAUAGUGUUCAUUAGCACAUUAGAUGUAAUGUUUUUCAAAUUCUCAGAUCUAAUCUUAUGGCCACCUAAGGAACAGCAGUGAGAUCACAACACAUGAUUGGUCCAGUGUAUCCCCAACACAUCACAUGAUUGGCACGAUGUAUUCACAUGUCAUCUUUUGGAUCUUUCAAACUGGAUUGUGGAUCCAAACAUUGUAAUGCUUUGUUUGACACUGUCUUGACAGGUCUUAAAUAAAAUAUGUUGAACCAUGA